UAGCGGCGACGGGUGAGUAACACGUGAGGAACCUGCCUUACACAGGGGAAGUAACAACCGUGAAAACGGUGCUAAUACCGCAUAACACCGCACUAUGGCAUCAUAGAGCGGUCAAAGGAGAAAUCCGGUGUAAGAUGGCCUCGCGCCCGAUUAGUUAGUUGGUGGGGUAAUGGCCUACCAAGACUGCGAUCGGUAGCCGGACUGAGAGGUCGAACGGCCACAUUGGAACUGAGAGACGGUCCAGACUCCUACGGGAGGCAGCAGUGGGGAAUAUUGGGCAAAUGGGGGAAACCCUGACCCAGCAACGCCGCGUGAAGGAAGAAGGCCUUCGGGUUGUAAACUUCUUUGAUCAGGGAAGAAACAAAUGACGGUACCUGAAAAACAAGCCACGGCUAACUACGUGCCAGCCGCUGC
rnacentral:rRNA from 1 species